CCGGGGUGAGUUACUGGUGCAGGAUGGGCCCGCGGCCUAUCAGCUUGUUGGUGGGGUAAUGGCCUACCAAGGCGACGACGGGUAGCCGGCCUGAGAGGGCGACCGGCCACACUGGGACUGAGACACGGCCCAGACUCCUACGGGAGGCAGCAGUGGGGAAUAUUGCACAAUGGGCGAAAGCCUGAUGCAGCGACGCCGCGUGAGGGAUGACGGCCUUCGGGUUGUAAACCUCUUUCAGCAGGGACGAAGCGAGAGUGACGGUACA
rnacentral:rRNA from 1 species